rnacentral:lncRNA from 1 species
AUAAAGGAGUUUUGGAAACUAAGAAAAAAUUCAUAUAAAGGUUUAAGCUACACUCUCUAUAGCUAGAUAUCUAGUAUAUUUCUAAAUAGCAAAUCAUGCCAUAUGACAAUGCUUCUUAGAAUGCUCCAAGUACUUAGCUGUGGAAGGUAGAAUGGAAAUUACAACAACAAAAUCUUAAUUCUAAUAGAACACUAACAAUGCUAAAUAAGCUUUAAUCAAAUUCAGAGAAACCUCAAAGGAAUUCCAAAGGAAUAAUAAGAAAUCUUAAAGAAAUAUUAGAAUGAUUACAAACAUAUCUCAAAUACAUCUCAAUUCAAUCUUAAUUUAAUCCUAUUUGAAAUCUUACUUCAUUCAAACUUUAGGCCAAAAACUAACUAAAUCUUAAAUCCUAAACAAACUCAAAUAAAAUCCUAAAUUCUAAAUCAAAUCCUGAUCAAAUCCUAACCAAACCUUAAAUCCUAAACUAAAUCUUAAAUCCUAAAUUAAAUCCUAAUCAAACCCUAAAUCCUAAAUCCUAAAUCCUAAACCAAAUCCUAAUCCUAAAUUAAACUCUAACCAAAUCCUAAUCAAAUCCUAAUUUUAAAUCAGAUCCAAACCAAAUCCUAAUCCUAAAUCAAAUCCUAACCACCUCUAAACCAAACCCUAAAUCCCAGAUCAAAUUCUAAUCCUAAAUCAAACCCUAAACCAAACCUUAAAUCCUAAACCAAACUCUAAUCCUAAAUCAAACCCUAAUCCUAAAUCAAAUCCUAACCAAAUCCUAAUCUUAAAUCAAAUCCUAACCAAAUCCUAAUCCUAAUCCUGAAUCCAAA